GUAAUGUGCCACCUUAUCAAAUACAGAGCUAUAUGUUUAUAUAUCCCCCUCUGCAGCUUGUUAUGGUCUAAUCUCACAUGUUGAUUUUGAAAGAUGAUUGUGGUUUGGCCAAUGUACAAUCACAACAAUAUCAGUCACUGACAAGUAAGGUGAAUAGAUGACAUGUCUUGUGACUAGACUCAAACAUGUCAUAGUGAGAUAUAUAGUGAUAUCGAAUGGGUGAGAGGGUGGUGCAUCUAGCUGUUUUAUAGAACAAGUGUUAAGAGUGAUGACAUUUACCCCUUCCUGUGCCCUCACACACACAUAUCGUUGGAGUCAACCAGUUUAUCCCGCCUUUGGAUUUUCCUGGUGCAGACCAUAAAUGCAAAAACCUUUCUGCCUGUUAGCACAAUACUGCCACCCCCAGUAAUGCACAGUGCACUGCAUUUUACACUUGUUCUUAUCACAUAGUUCGUCAAAUCACCACUACAUAUUACAAUCAUGUGCACUGAGUGAAUUUAACAAAUAUUAUAUAUACCUACCCAAGUCUGGAACCCAGUCUCCCCCCACCCAGUCUCUCCCCAAAAUAAACUCAGAUCAAAACACAACCAAAAGUAAUAUAUGGACUAUUUUACAACAAUUUUACCACUAAUCUGAGUUUUGAUGUGAAGGGCACUGCUGCCUGCCUGUAGGCCAUCUCUGUUUCUCUCUCUAGGGAGUACUGAUGGCUCAGCGGAAGUGGAUGCGGAUAUGACGUUUUCUGAAACCCACCCACAACAAUCGCCGCACGUUGAGGGGAUUUGAUUAAUCUGGACCGGGAACUCGUAUAGGCAUGUUUUGCACCGGGUAUUUGGUAUUUAAUUAGGAUCCCCAUUAGCUCUUGCAAAAGCAGCAGCUACUCUUCCUGGGGUCCACACAAAACAUGAAAUAUAAUACAGAAUGACAUAAUACAGGACAUAAUUUAGACCGGGUAAAAGUUGAUUGCAUUCGUUUUGGAACCUGGCUGCCUCCCGGGCGUGAGCCAGGUGCAGGUUAACGUUUAUUUCCAUGAGUCUUGUCCUGGAGGCAGCACUGAGCGAUUUCCCAUUCGAUAGGCCAGCUGAAAAGUCAAAAUGGCUAUAUUGUUAGAAUUAAUGCAUUUAAAWAUAUAUAKAUUUUUGGUCGCAAUUUAAGAUUAGGGUUAGGCAUUAGGGUUAUCAGUGUGGUUAAGGUUACACGUAACGAGACAUGUGUGGUGUGCUGCGGCUCGGUAUAAUCGAAUCUGCCCACUGUAUUAUGAAAUGCUCGGAAAAGUUGUGAAAAUAAUCACGGUUUCUCGCACGAAUUACACCUGUGCAUGGGAAACGCAGUCAUUCACGAGUCUGUAAUACUGUAAAAAUAACACAAUUAAUUUUGGAACUGAGCCUCAGAGGUUGGUGACACCUCAAUUGGGGAUGACGGACUCGUGGUAAUGGCUGGAGCGGAAUCGUGGAAUGUUAUCAAGUACGCCGAACACAUGGUGUCCAUGCCUUUUCCAUGUGUUUGAUGCCAUUCCAUUUGUUCUAUCCAUUAUUAUGAGCCGUCCUCCCCUCGGCAGCCUCCGUUACCAUUGCCAAGCGUAAAGAAUCUACAGACACACCAUUAAAGACCGAUACAAAGAAGCUGAAGCAGGUUGCAAAAUACAUAGGUGGCGGACUAAGAGCCAAAAAAGACCAAGGUUUGGGGAAAUGUUCAUGCUGAACCCAGAUCUUCCCUGUGAGGAGAGGCUUGGACCACAGGCCAUGCUGGAGAGGAGGCUGGGCAGCCUCACUGCUAAAGACCACCAGGAAGUGACAUGUAUCCUGCACACUGAAGGCACCUUGCAGAAACUUUUGUGCAUGUUCGUCUGUUGCAUUUUUUUUUCUCACUGCGAAUGGAGUAUGUUUGUGAGGGAGGACCAUAUUAUUUUGAACAACUUGGGCUCUUAUGCUGUUUCUGUUGGUGCUUAGGUUGUUGCAGCUCUUGUCGACUGCUGCUCUCUCUGCAGCCCCUGUCACUGAAGCCCCCCCAUCAGCCAAGGGUACAGCCUGACUGAAGGCUUUUGGGUCGUUCUACRAAAUGAGUGCAUUUUGCAUCCCUUUUGAUAUUUUUAAGUAGAAAUUGUGCACCAAUAUUGGAUUUUAAAAGCCUUUUAUAUUACAUGAAGUGCCCUUUAAUAUAGACCACAUGGAGUAUUCAAUAAAUCAGAUUUUUUACAUGAAUAAAGACUUGCUAAAGUGCCAAAAUCCCGCAUUUUGAUGUGUCUCUCCAUGCACCCUCUGUGAAUCUAGGAAGAKUUUAACCCACUUAAUCCCAACAUUUCUCCAAGUUGUUGCCAUUAUUGUAAAGCCAUAGUUAUUUUGUUGCUUUGAC